rnacentral:rRNA from 1 species
AUGGAUCAGAUACCAGCAAAGCACAUUCUGAAAUGCUGGACAAAGGAUGCAAGGGAUGUGUUGCCAGAUCAUCUUGCGCACCUUCAGAAAGAUAGGAUUAAUGUCAACUCUAUAACAUUCAAGCACUCGAAUUUAUACACUCAUGCACUUGAAGUUGUCCAUCUUGGUGAUGCCAACACAUCGACUUAUGAAUGUGCAAUGGAAAUGCUGAAGAAAGCAAUGGAUAUGCUAACGCCCAUGGCCAGCGUCCGCAUCGGGAUGGGGCUUGAAGACAGAAUUCAUUCAGAUAAGGGAAAAGACAAGGAGCUGAUUCCAAUGCAUGCAACAGAAAGUCAUGAAGAGAGCAAUGCUGAAGGUAGUGUUGUUGAAAAUUUCAUCGGCUUAAAGCCUCCAGAACGAAAGCAUAAACCAGGAAGACCUACUACCAGCAGGGACAAGCCUCCAUAUGAUGAUCGAUGUGCAAAAAGCAAAAGAUUCAAGGACGCAACAAAUGGAAAAGCUCAUGAUGGUUCUGGCACAAGCAAACGUACUCGUUUCUGCAGUAUAUGCUGUGGAGCAGGGCACAAGAGUACCACAUGUUCGCAGAGGGGUGAUCUCCCUCGCAAAGACAGGAAAGAGGCCAAAUGUUCAAACUGCGGUGGUGGUGGACACAAGAAGAACAUCUGCAACAAACCUAAAGUAGUGAUGCAUGUUGUUGAAAAUGCAACUUUGGAGCAGAUUUCCAUCUAG